ACAGCGUCAGAGGCGGGGACGCGCGCUGGUCUAUUUUUGGGCAUCCGGAUGGCGACUGCGGGAAAUCGAGUUCUCAUGCUGGGGCGAAAGGACCGUCCGCCCGCUCGGAAGAGGCGAAUCUCCCACGGCAGACGUCUGGGUGUGCGAAUGCCAGUUGAGCGGGGCCUCGAGGACGCGUCACACACAGCGAGGAUUUGAGGAGGGAAGCGCCUUCCAGAGCUUCAGAGAAGAGGCAGAAGUGUGCAAACAGGAGCAGGUCCAAGAUUUGCAUGGCCAGAAGCAAUUCUUGAUCCUCUUGGCUAGAUUCGAAGAUUUGGCCACCUCCAGACGCUACCACACUCUGGGACAGUGGGAGAUUUGGAACAGCUUUGAGAAGAGCAAGGUGAGCUGGGACUUCCUGGAGCAGGCUGCCCAGGAAAAGCCAUUCCAUGGCAGAACUUGCGAGGGUGAGGUCGAGGGUUAAGGGAUAAGCGGGCAGAGGGUAGAAAUCCAAUUGGGCUAUUCCUAAAGCAUCCCCAGUCGCUUGGUUUUCCACUCUUCACCGAUGCUGCACUAAUGCCACGUAGGUCCAUCCCCGCAUAUGACACCAGGGAUUUUAUUCUGACCUCACAAGAUCCCAGGAUGAUGGCUCACAAAGGGCUUCCCUGGUUAUUUACUUCUGACUCUUGAAAGCUUAAAGAAAUUGUGCCUGAGAGGUUCAGUACCUUGUCCAGGGACACCCAGUUUGUGCAGAGCCGGGAGGAAAACACAGUUCAGUUCACUGUCACAGGUGAGUCACCAAAAACAUCCUAUAAAAAGACCUUUUGAGAAACUGUAACCCCGUUAAAACUAGUUAAAAAUUCUUGCCUUAAAGCAUUCCAUAUUCAUUUUACUUGGCUUUCUGUGGAUUUUCUCCCAUGAGAGACAAGCAGUAUUAAUCGGAAAACGGUUAAGUGGUGCAGCCUGAGUGUUUUGCUGUGUUAAUUUUAAUAAAAGAACAGUGCCUUAUCCUUCAAGUACUUUAA
ensembl:lncRNA novel transcript